GGAAUGUUGUCCACAUAAAUGGAGAAUUUCGAUCAUAAACGAGGGAAAACAUUUAGGAUAAAUGCGUGCUAAGACUGCUCGAUUACUCAUUACCCUGUAAAGAAUUCAAUUUUAAAUGGGGAAAAUGGGAGUAAAUAAACAAGUAAGUAUAGAAAAUAAUGUUUUAAACAUUUUUCUGCAUUUCAAUGAGAAGCAUUCUUAUAUUUUCAGGAUUAACAUAUUUGAAGAUAAAAGUCUUGUAGUUGCAUCCAAACUAAACCAAUGUGACUUUGAUAUGCACAGGGUAUAUUCUUAAAAGGGAGCAAAAACAACAAUGGAAAGUGCUGGAGUCAACAACAUCGAGACGUUUUGAAUGGAGUUUCAAUAGUUUCCCAUAAGUUUCAACUGCUUUUUAAUAUCACACAUAUGUGCAUACUUUAGCAUAAGUACUUGUAAGACUCCACAAACACACAUACACACACACACAUGCAUGCUUCAAUACCACAUAAGAGUACUUAACAUACAAACACACACAAACACAUAAGUAUCUACCAAUGGAUUGCUUUGCGCUUCCUCAAUGCGACCUUCAACAAUAAAUUUGUGUAUCGAGCAUCCAAUGGAAAAUUUGCAAUAAUGAAUGUGAGAAUAUAUAUUACAGUACUUCUAUGUAUAUGUAAUCCGAUUUAUGUAUUCUAAUAUUUACGUUCAUAUUUUGUAUGUCCUUAAAUAACUAUUGAAAUGCUUCUAAAUAAAAGCUUAAAAACUAUG